rnacentral:rRNA from 1 species
AUUGAACGCUGGCGUCAGGCUUAACACAUGCAAGUCGAACGAGUGGCGGACGGGUGAGUAAUGCUUGGGCAUCUAGCUUAUGGAGGGGGAUAACUACGGGAAACUGUAGCUAAUACCGCGUACCAUAGGAUGAGCCCAAGUGGGAUUAGGUAUUUGGUGAGGUAAAGGCUCACCAGGCCGACGAUCUCUAGCUGGUCUGAGAGGAUGACCUGCCACACGCGGAUUGAGACACGGCCCCGACGCCUACGGGAGGCAGCAGUGGGGAAUUUUGGACAAUGGGCACAAGCCUGAUCCAGCAAUGCCGCGUGUCUGAAGAAGGCCGUCGGGUUGUAAAGGACGUUUGUCAGGGAAGCGGGAACGGAACAAUCAGCACCGGCUAACUACGCGCCAGCAGCCGCGGUAAUAC